UUGUGAGGUUAAGCGACUAAGCGUACACGGUGGAUGCCCUGGCAGUCAGAGGCGAUGAAGGACGUGCUAAUCUGCGAUAAGCGUCGGUGAGGUGAUAUGAACCGUUAUAACCGGCGAUUUCCGAAUGGGGAAACCCAGUGUGUUUCGACACACUAUCAUUAACUGAAUCCAUAGGUUAAUGAGGCGAACCGGGGGAACUGAAACAUCUAAGUACCCCGAGGAAAAGAAAUCAACCGAGAUUCCCCCAGUAGCGGCGAGCGAACGGGGAGGAGCCCAGAGCCUGAAUCAGUGUGUGUGUUAGUGGAAGCGUCUGGAAAGGCGCGCGAUACAGGGUGACAGCCCCGUACACAAAAAUGCACAUAUUGUGAGCUCGAUGAGUAGGGCGGGACACGUGGUAUCCUGUCUGAAUAUGGGGGGACCAUCCUCCAAGGCUAAAUACUCCUGACUGACCGAUAGUGAACCAGUACCGUGAGGGAAAGGCGAAAAGAACCCCGGCGAGGGGAGUGAAAAAGAACCUGAAACCGUGUACGUACAAGCAGUGGGAGCCUCUUAAUGGGGUGACUGCGUACCUUUUGUAUAAUGGGUCAGCGACUUAUAUUCUGUAGCAAGGUUAACCGAAUAGGGGAGCCGAAGGGAAACCGAGUCUUAACUGGGCGUUAAGUUGCAGGGUAUAGACCCGAAACCCGGUGAUCUAGCCAUGGGCAGGUUGAAGGUUGGGUAACACUAACUGGAGGACCGAACCGACUAAUGUUGAAAAAUUAGCGGAUGACUUGUGGCUGGGGGUGAAAGGCCAAUCAAACCGGGAGAUAGCUGGUUCUCCCCGAAAGCUAUUUAGGUAGCGCCUCGUGAAUUCAUCUCCGGGGGUAGAGCACUGUUUCGGCAAGGGGGUCAUCCCGACUUACCAACCCGAUGCAAACUGCGAAUACCGGAGAAUGUUAUCACGGGAGACACACGGCGGGUGCUAACGUCCGUCGUGAAGAGGGAAACAACCCAGACCGCCAGCUAAGGUCCCAAAGUCAUGGUUAAGUGGGAAACGAUGUGGGAAGGCCCAGACAGCCAGGAUGUUGGCUUAGAAGCAGCCAUCAUUUAAAGAAAGCGUAAUAGCUCACUGGUCGAGUCGGCCUGCGCGGAAGAUGUAACGGGGCUAAACCAUGCACCGAAGCUGCGGCAGCGACGCUUAUGCGUUGUUGGGUAGGGGAGCGUUCUGUAAGCCUGUGAAGGUGUGCUGUGAGGCAUGCUGGAGGUAUCAGAAGUGCGAAUGCUGACAUAAGUAACGAUAAAGCGGGUGAAAAGCCCGCUCGCCGGAAGACCAAGGGUUCCUGUCCAACGUUAAUCGGGGCAGGGUGAGUCGACCCCUAAGGCGAGGCCGAAAGGCGUAGUCGAUGGGAAACAGGUUAAUAUUCCUGUACUUGGUGUUACUGCGAAGGGGGGACGGAGAAGGCUAUGUUGGCCGGGCGACGGUUGUCCCGGUUUAAGCGUGUAGGCUGGUUUUCCAGGCAAAUCCGGAAAACCAAGGCUGAGGCGUGAUGACGAGGCACUACGGUGCUGAAGC
rnacentral:rRNA from 1 species